CUAUGAAGGUGGAAGUGAAAAACAAAGUUCGUCUUGUAAGAUCGAUGACGUUGAGCUGUGUUACAUUCUGUAUUGAAACAGUAACAGAGCGACCAUACUUAAGGUUCACGAGGAAUAUGUUCCCAUAUGCAUGGAGAUUGAUCUGCAUGGAUUAUCAGUCCCUUAAUGAUGGAACACCUGAUGUGAGGAAUGCAGCUUUCUCAGCUUUGGCGGCUAUUUCCAAGAUGGUUGGCAUGAGACCUUUGGAAAAGUCUCCAGAAAAAUCUGGAUGAUGUCAGACAAAAGAAGUAUCUGAAAUGAUUGGGGGUCGACGGGGGAUCCUUAUGCUCUUCCAAACUCAGGUGUUGUUCAACCUUCUAGAGCAGUUUUGACUACGAGUUUCCUCUGAACUAGUAGAAUGGAUAUGAAGCAAACCACUUGCGGAUCUUUGCUGCAGCAACUGCAGAAAUGAAUCUUUUUUCCUGCAGCAAAUUUGGGAUAAAGUUUGUGAAAAUUACGAAGAGCGGGACAAAAUUCUUCUUCAAUUGGAUCAGGAGUGCUUGGAUGUGUACAAGAGAAAAGUUGACCUGACAUUGAAAUCUAGAGCCCACCUUCUUCAGACACUGGCAGAUGCUAGAGUUGAACUCACCAAUCUAUUAUCAGCUUUUGGAGAAAAGAAUUAUGUCGGAAUUCCUGACAAGACGUCAGGAACGAACAAGGAACAGCUUCAAGGUAUAGCUCCUGCUUUGGAUAAACUAUGGAAACAAAAGGAUGGGAAGAUAAAAGAGUAUUCUGAUGUUCAAUCUCAAAUACAGAACAUAUAUGCGGAGAUUGCUGGAACUAGUGUCCAGGUUGAGAAUAUCACAGUUGAUGAGGCCAAUCUAUCCAUGAAAAAAUUAGAUAGAGUUUAAUGCCCAGCUUCAAGAUCUUCAAAAGGAAAAGGCCUUUCUUGGUUUUUUAAAUUGACAGGCUGCACAAGGUUAUUGACUUGUCAGCACAGUUCACGAUCUUUGUGCUGUCCUCGCCACGGACUUCUUUACUACUGUCACAGAAGUGCAACUAAGCCUGAAUGACGCCACUGGUGUUCACUCAAAAAGCAUCUUUUUGCUGUCCUUGCUCCUAGUGAUUUUUCAGAACUUUGUCGAACAUUAAAGAAGGUUAUCACCGAUGUAAACAUUACUGUGGGAAAAUGAAGAAAAAAAAGGAAAAAAAAGAAAAAAAGGAAAAAAAAAGAAAUUAAAAAGGAAAAAAAAGGGGCAUCCUUGGUAGGGAUCCGAGAACCCUUCAUAAAAGCAAGGAAAAAAAAGGAAAAAAAAAAGAAAAAAAAACAUUGCUGUUGCAGUUGAAGCUAUUCAAGCAUUGGGCAACUUUGCUAUGGAUCUGAGAACCCAUUUUUCGGCAAGAUGUCGCUUCUUAUUGCCUCUACUAUUGGAGAAAUUGUAGGAGAAGAAACCUACUUCAACGGAGGCCCUUACCCAAACUCUUCAGGCAAUGCCUAAGUCCAGAUGCUUGAGUGUAUAUGACACUGUUGAAG